rnacentral:misc_RNA from 1 species
AAGUCGUAACAAGGUUUCCGUAGGUGAACCUGCGGAAGGAUCAUUAGCAACAACGGGACGCGUAGUGCCACACCACGCAUUGCCGACAGGCGAUGCGUGAGUGUUGGACUCGACCCAUCAACUCUAUCACCAUGUGCGAAAGUGGGUGUUCCGGGUGUCGAAAGGCACUCGGGACACUUUAACAACACGCUGGAUAGCCAAAUGAUACACACAAUCAAAUUAAAAAAAACUUUUAACAAUGGAUCUCUUGGCUCUU